rnacentral:sRNA from 1 species
GCCGCGCCUAGCCCGACGGGGCGAAAAGGCCGUUCCCUUGCGGCCCUGGUGCGGCAUCCCGAAGCUGUG